rnacentral:rRNA from 1 species
UGCAGUCGAGCGAACAGACAAGGAGCUUGCUCCUUUGACGUUAGCGGCGGACGGGUGAGUAACACGUGGGUAACCUACCUAUAAGACUGGGAUAACUUCGGGAAACCGGAGCUAAUACCGGAUAAUAUUUCGAACCGCAUGGUUCGAUAGUGAAAGAUGGUUUUGCUAUCACUUAUAGAUGGACCCGCGCCGUAUUAGCUAGUUGGUAAGGUAACGGCUUACCAAGGCGACGAUACGUAGCCGACCUGAGAGGGUGAUCGGCCACACUGGAACUGAGACACGGUCCAGACUCCUACGGGAGGCAGCAGUAGGGAAUCUUCCGCAAUGGGCGAAAGCCUGACGGAGCAACGCCGCGUGAGUGAUGAAGGUCUUCGGAUCGUAAAACUCUGUUAUUAGGGAAGAACAUACGUGUAAGUAACUAUGCACGUCUUGACGGUACCUAAUCAGAAAGCCACGGCUAACUACGUGCCAGCAGCCGCGGUAAUACGUAGGUGGCAAGCGUUAUCCGGAAUUAUUGGGCGUAAAGCGCGCGUAGGCGGUUUUUUAAGUCUGAUGUGAAAGCCCACGGCUCAACCGUGGAGGGUCAUUGGAAACUGGAAAACUUGAGUGCAGAAGAGGAAAGUGGAAUUCCAUGUGUAGCGGUGAAAUGCGCAGAGAUAUGGAGGAACACCAGUGGCGAAGGCGACUUUCUGGUCUGUAACUGACGCUGAUGUGCGAAAGCGUGGGGAUCAAACAGGAUUAGAUACCCUGGUAGUCCACGCCGUAAACGAUGAGUGCUAAGUGUUAGGGGGUUUCCGCCCCUUAGUGCUGCAGCUAACGCAUUAAGCACUCCGCCUGGGGAGUACGACCGCAAGGUUGAAACUCAAAGGAAUUGACGGGGACCCGCACAAGCGGUGGAGCAUGGUGGNUUAAUUCGAAGCAACGCGAAGAA